AGGCAGCCGUCAGCAGCGGCAGCACAAGCGCCUAGGACCAGGAGCUCGCAGCCC
rnacentral:miRNA from 1 species